AAUCCAGUAACAAUAGCGGCUUCCACAACUUAGCACAGUGCAACCCAUAUGCUACUAUAGCAUAGCUAAAAAUGUUCAGAGCUGCAGAUGAUGGGCUUUUUCUUCACAGGACCAUCAUCACGUUGUUUAGGCUAUAUGUAUGAUGAAAUCAUAGAGAAAUGGUCAUUCUCUUAUGGGCUCAAUUGUUUUUUUUUUGUGAGAGUACUAUACCAGAUAAGAAAUGUCCUCGGUGGAGGACUAAUGAAAGCCAAAUUUACCUUUUGAAUUGGGGGUUUGGGAUCGAGGGGAAAAAUCCAAGUCAACUGUACGGUCUUGAUGAAAAUCUAAGAACAGGCAAUAUUUUUUUUAUCACCAAGCCGGUUCGAAGGUUUGUUUUUUUUGUUUAAUUGGAUUUUUAAGGGAAAAAAAGAUACAGAAACACCCAAUACCCCCAUUCCCAUUCCCUUAAUCCUAAUCCCCAAAAGGUAACCCUAACCUCACCUCACGGCGACACCAUAGUCGCAAGCUAACCUCACAUCACCGCGACACAGCCAGCCGUGUCGUGUUGUUCGUGUCGACGAACACCGCGCGACUCCAACGACGUCACCUGCACCGCGGCUCCCUUGUCUUCAUCGUGGCUAAUCCUUGCUCCACGGCUCCUUGCGCCGGUUUGUCGUCACCGUAGUAGCGUCCUCUCCGUCGUGUGCAUCCUCUACUCUGUCAGACUGGUUGUUUGUCUCUGUCUUCUGCCUCCUCUGCUCUGUUGGAUAAGUAAGGAAACUCCAGUGGAGAAUGACAUCGAGUAGCAGCAAGGCGGAAGACCCGUGAAAAUAGAACAUGGCGAUGGUGGAGAUGUUUUCACAGGCAAAAACCGAUUAUGCAGACGAGGGGGAAGCGUUGUUUGACCUGGGCACUGCGCUGAAGAUAUGGUUGGAGAUUUGAAGUGCAAUAAUGGGGGGCGUAGCUUGCAUAUAUAGAUAU